rnacentral:rRNA from 1 species
UGCGAGUCAUUGUAGCAAUACAAGGCAGACGGCUCAGUAACGCGUAGUCAAUCUACCCUAUGGACGGGAAUAACCUCGGGAAACUGAGAAUAAUGCCCGAUAGAACAUUAUGCCUGGAACGGUUUAUGUUUCAAAUGAUUUAUCGCCGUAGGAUGGGACUGCGGCCUAUCAGUUUGUUGGUGAGGUAAUGGCCCACCAAGACUAUUACAGGUACGGGCUCUGAGAGGAGUAGCCCGGAGAUGGGUACUGAGACACGGACCCAGGCCCUAUGGGGCGCAGCAGGCGAGAAAACUUUGCAAUGUGCGAAAGCACGACAAGGUUAAUCCGAGUGGUUUCUGCUAAAGAAACCUUUUGCUAGUCCUAGAAACACUAGUGAAUAAGGGGUGGGCAAGUUCUGGUGUCAGCCGCCGCGGUAAAACCAGCACCUCAAGUGGUCAGGAUGGUUAUUGGGCCUAAAGCAUCCGUAGCUCGUUUUGUAAGUUUUCGGUUAAAUCCAUACGCUUAACGUAUGGGCUGCCGGGAAUACUGCAUAACUAGGAAGUGGGAGAGGUAGACGGUACUCGGUAGGAAGGGGUAAAAUCCUUUGAUCUAUUGAUGACCACCUGUGGCGAAGGCGGUCUACCAGAACACGUUCGACGGUGAGGGAUGAAAGCUGGGGGAGCAAACCGGAUUAGAUACCCGGGUAGUCCCAGCUGUAAACUAUGCAAACUCAGUGAUGCAUUGGCUUGUGGCCAAUGCAGUGCUGCAGGGA